UACGUAAGGACCGAGCGUUGUCCGGAAUCAUUGGGCGUAAAGGGUACGUAGGCGGCUAGAAAAGUUAGCAGUGAAAGGCUAUAGCUCAACUAUAGUAGGCGGUUAAAACUGUUUAACUUGAGAGAUGGAAGGGAAAGUGGAAUUCCCAGUGUAGCGGUGAAAUGCGCAGAUAUUAGGAGGAAUACCAGUGGCGAAGGCGACUUUCUGGGCAUUAUCUGACGCUGAUGGACGAAAGCGAGGGGAGCAAACAGG
rnacentral:rRNA from 1 species